rnacentral:rRNA from 1 species
GAUCAUGGCUCAGGAUGAACGCUGGCGGCGUGCCUAACACAUGCAAGUCGAACGGAAUUUACAUGAAGCCUAGCGAUUGUAAAUUUAGUGGCGGACGGGUGAGUAACGCGUGGGUAACCUGCCUUGUACUGGGGGGACAACAGUUGGAAACGACUGCUAAUACCGCAUAAGCGCACUGCUUCGCAUGAAGCAGUGUGAAAAACUCCGGUGGUACAAGAUGGACCCGCAUCUGAUUAG